rfam:Ixodes scapularis strain Wikel colony gcontig_1108379781122, whole genome shotgun sequence.
CCCUGGUUAGCUCAGUUGGUAGAGCGCUCCACCUGUAAUGGAGAGGUCCCGGGUUCGAUACUCGGACCAGGCG